AUGAAUCUUCAUUCACUUAUUCUGCUCUUUGCUUCAGCAGCUGCUGUAUUUGGAAAUGUCAUCAAACCAAACAAAACAGAUGUUUUUGCUGAGGAGGGUUCAAGUGUUACAUUAUCCUGUAGUUUUUCUGCCUCUGGAGCUCAAGAUUAUCUCCACUGGUACCGUCAGUAUGGAAGAUCAAAACCUGAAUUUCUUGUACUUAUCUUUGGAAGUGCAACAGAUCCCGAAGUAUCUGAAGUAGAUCCAAGAUUCUCUGUUAAAGUUGAAAAAAAGGAGCAAAGUCAUGUGUAUCUGGAGAUCUCCUCUGCUGCAGUAUCAGACUCUGCUCUGUAUUACUGUGCUCUGAAGCCCACAGUCACA